rnacentral:tRNA from 1 species
AAGAUUACUUCCCUUAAAGCUGCUAACUUUAAACAAAUGCUUAGCAUUUAAUCUUU